CAGAGUGUUGUCCAUGUCGGAACUGCUCAUGAGAUAAAUGUGGUGGAUAUCCCAGCUAUAGUUGAAUCAGAGAAGCACGGUGAAGAAACUACCGCAGACCUCCCAGCUAUAGUUGAAUUAAAGAAGCACGGUGAAGAAACUGCCACAGACCUCCCAGCUAUAGUUGAAUUAGAGAAGCAUGGUGAAGAAACUACCGCAGACCUCCCAACUAUAGUUGAAUUAGAGAAGCACGGUGAAGAAACUACCGCAGACCCUACUGCUCAGAUGACGAACAUUAUUACAGAUAAAGUUGAAGAAAAGAAGCAAGAUGAAGAAAUUACGCCAGGUCCUGCUCCUCAUGCUAUUAAUGUG
rnacentral:lncRNA from 1 species